rnacentral:tRNA from 2 species
GCCAGUGUAGCUCAGUUGGUCAGAGCAGCUGAUUUGUAAUCAGCAGGUCGUCGGUUCGACUCCGGCCACCGGCU